rnacentral:rRNA from 1 species
CCUACGGGAGGCAGCAGUGAGGAAUAUUGGUCAAUGGACGAGAGUCUGAACCAGCCAAGUAGCGUGAAGGAUGACUGCCCUAUGGGUUGUAAACUUCUUUUAUAUGGGAAUAAAACGUUCCACGUGUGGGAUUUUGUAUGUACCAUAUGAAUAAGGAUCGGCUAACUCCGUGCCAGCAGCCGCGGUAAUACGGAGGAUCCGAGCGUUAUCCGGAUUUAUUGGGUUUAAAGGGAGCGUAGGUGGAUUGUUAAGUCAGUUGUGAAAGUUUGCGGCUCAACCGUAAAAUUGCAGUUGAAACUGGCAGUCUUGAGUACAGUAGAGGUGGGCGGAAUUCGUGGUGUAGCGGUGAAAUGCUUAGAUAUCACGAAGAACUCCGAUUGCGAAGGCAGUUCACUGGACUGCAACUGACACUGAGGCUCGAAAGUGUGGGUAUCAAACUGGAUUAGAUACCCCUGUAGUC